CAGAUCGUAUUGUUCCAACUGUGGGGCUCAAUAUUGGUCGUGUUGAAGCAUCAAAUACGAAGCUUGUAUUUUGGGAUUUAGGAGGUCAGCCUGGUCUUCGCUCAAUCUGGGAGAAGUAUUAUGAAGAGGCACAUGCUGUGAUAUAUGUUGUUGAUGCUGCUAGUCCGUCACGCUUUGAGGAUUCUAAAUCUGCACUUGAAAAAGUUCUCCGGCAUGAGGAUCUGCAAGGAGCCCCACUUCUGAUAUUAGCAAACAAGCAGGACCUUGCAGAUGCUGUAUCAGCAGAAGAAGUUGCCCGGUAUCUUGAUCUCAAGAAACUCGAUGAGCGAGCUUAUACCUUUCUAGCUGUUUCAUCAUAUGAUGGGUUAGGAAUCAAGGAAAGUGUGAAUUGGCUUGUAGAUGUAAUGGAGAGG
rnacentral:misc_RNA from 1 species